rnacentral:rRNA from 1 species
GAUGAACGCUGGCGGCGUGCCUAAUACAUGCAAGUCGAGCGAACAGAUAAGGAGCUUGCUCCCUUGACGUUAGCGGCGGACGGGUGAGUAACACGUGGGUAACCUACCUAUAAGACUGGGAUAACUUCGGGAAACCGGAGCUAAUACCGGAUAAUAUUUCGAACCGCAUGGUUCGAUAGUGAAAGAUGGUUUUGCUAUCACUUAUAGAUGGACCCGCGCCGUAUUAGCUAGUUGGUAAGGUAACGGCUUACCAAGGCGACGAUACGUAGCCGACCUGAGAGGGUGAUCGGCCACACUGGAACUGAGACACGGUCCAGACUCCUACGGGAGGCAGCAGUAGGGAAUCUUCCGCAAUGGGCGAAAGCCUGACGGAGCAACGCCGCGUGAGUGAUGAAGGUCUUCGGAUCGUAAAACUCUGUUAUUAGGGAAGAACAUACGUGUAAGUAACUGUGCACGUCUUGACGGUACCUAAUCAGAAAGCCACGGCUAACUACGUG